rnacentral:rRNA from 1 species
AUUGAACGCUGGCGGAAGGCCUAACACAUGCAAGUCGAGCGAGCGGCGGACGGGUGAGUAAUGUCUGGGAAACUGCCUGAUGGGGGGGGAUAACUACUGGAAACGGUAGCUAAUACCGCAUACCAUCAGAUGUGCCCAGUGGGGAUUCGCUAGUAGGUGGGGGAACGGCUCACACAGGCGACGAUCCCUAGCCGGUGUGAUAGGAUGACCAGCCACGACGGAACUGAGACACGGUCCAUAGUCCUACGGGAGGCAGCAGUGGGGAAUAUUGCACAAUGGGCGCAAGCCUGAUGCAGCCAUGCCGUGUGUGUGAAGAAGGCCUUCGGGUUGUAAAGCACUUUCAGCGGGGAGACGUUACCCGCAGAAGAAGCACCGGCUAACUCCGUGCCAGCAGCCGCGGUAAUUC